GCUGCUGAGUCUAACAUGUUUGCUUGAACAGCCUUUUGGCAGUCUUCAACUUAAUUUUCCAGGAAGACCAGAAAACAGCCCACCAGUGAUCUGAACUGAGGUGAUCAUCCAAGCUACAAGACUGUGAGUGUUGGACUGAGGACCCCCAGACACCUCCCUCGGGUCCGCGCCCUGCUUCUCAACUCUAACUCGGGGGCCCAAAUUUGGAGUGACGGACCCUCCUUCACCCCCAACCCGGACUCUCAAGUGCACAGACUUCAC
ensembl:lncRNA